AUUGAACGCUGGCGGCAGGCCUAACACAUGCAAGUCGAGCGGAUGAAGGGAGCUUGCUCCUGGAUUCAGCGGCGGACGGGUGAGUAAUGCCUAGGAAUCUGCCUGGUAGUGGGGGAUAACGUCCGGAAACGGGCGCUAAUACCGCAUACGUCCUGAUGGAGAAAGUGGGGGAUCUUCGGACCUCUCGCUAUCAGAUGAGCCUAGGUCGGAUUCGCUAGUUGGUGGGGUAAAGGCCUACCAAGGCGACGAUCCGUAACUGGUCUGAGAGGAUGAUCAGUCACACUGGCACUGAGACACAGUCCAGACUCCUGCGGGAGGCAGCAGUCGGGAAUAUUGCGCAAUGCGCGAAAGCCUGAUCCAGCCAUGCCGCGUGUGUGAAGAAGGUCUUCGGAUUGUAAAGCGCUUUAAGUUGGGGGGAAGGGCAGUAAGUUAAUCCCUUGCUGUAUUGACGUUACCGACAGAAUAAGCACCGGCUAACUUCGUG
rnacentral:rRNA from 1 species